CACUCCGCCUGGCUCUGGUCGUGCUUGCACUUCUUGAUCUGACCCCGUGCUACUGUCCCAGCAUGAGAUUGCACCUUUUUAUUUUUCUUCUUCUUGUUCUUCUUUCCAUUCCCAAAGGGUUGACGACGAGAAGAAGACCCUCCCACUACAUUCACCGACUCCUUAUGGAGUUGGUGAUCCUUCUCAAAGUUCUGCAGCAACCCCAACAAUCCGUGGUAGUUUACUGCAGACUUUGUCAUUCAAAAAUGAGUAAGGAAUGGGAGGAAGGACUUGGGCAAGGAAUUAAGGACCGCAUCCUUACCGAGCUGCUCGUGCAGAGGAAAGCCCAAUUUGCUUAGGCGCUCAAUCAUCUCGAUCAUGUACAGUACAUGAUCAGUGACUGAGGCCCCAUCCCUCAUCCGAGCAUUGAAAAUGGCACAACUAGUUUUGUGCCUUUCAAUGUCGUCAGACGUGCCAAAGGAGUCGUUCAACAUUUGAAGCAUCUCCUGUAGCUGGGCGUUCUCAAACCUUCGGCUGAACUCGUCAUUCAUUGCUGCCAACAUAAUACAUCGAACGGUGGUGCGGUCAUUGAGCCACUUCAANNN
rnacentral:lncRNA from 1 species